AAUCACAACCAUGAAUGCUGUAUAUGUUGCGCAACUAUUCAUUCUGCUUUCUACUGCUGUCUGUCAAGUUGAUAUCAGUGUAAGCUGUGAUGAUGUGACUGGAUCUGUGGGGAAAGAAGUAACUCUCACCUGCAGAGUUUUUCAGCAGAGCACUGAUUGCUGCAUUAGAAAUUACAAGAUUCAAUACCCUGAGAUCUAUGGCGACCCGAUCUGUGAACAAGUGCUUCCGGUGAACUCCUGCAAAAACAGUAAUAGCCUCACAUGCCGCUACACUCCAACUACAGCAAUAACACAACAAUUCAGAUUCUUUGUGCAAACAAGGUGUGGAAUAGAAAAAACAAAAUUCACAGUGAACAUAACAGAGAAAUUCAACCAGAACGUUUCAAAAACAUCUCAACAAGAGACAGCAGAAGAAGAUUGGACUUUUAAGGGAUGUCUUCUGUAAUUUUUUUGCAUUUACAAAGUAAUAAUAUAGCAUAUUCAAAUUUUACUGCUAGUAUUCUUU